AGAGGUGGCGAGCGUUGUUCGGAUUCAUUGGGCGUAAAGGGUGCGUAGGUGGUUUGGUAAGUUGGAUGUGAAAUACCACAGCUCAACUGGGGAAUUGCAUCCAAAACUACCUUACUUGAGGAUCUCGGGAAGAGAAUAGAAUUCUCGGUGUAGCGGUGAAAUGCGUAGAUAUCGAGAAGAAUACCUGUGGCGAAGGCGGUUCUCUACCAUAUUCCUGACACUAAAGCACGAAAGCGCGGGGAGCAAACGGGAUUAGAUACCCCGGUAGUCCGCGCCGUAAACGAUGAGAACUGGGUGUACGAGGUAUCGACCCCUCGUGUGCCGAAGCUAACGCAUUAAGUUCUCCGCCUGGGGAGUACGGCCGCAAGGUUA
rnacentral:rRNA from 1 species